CCCACUUCGUCUCUCUCGUCUCUCCCCGCUCCCUCAAACAGGUCCACCUCCCCACUCGCCACUGCCAACCGCCCACCUGCGUCGGAAGGACGGGGACGGUCACCACCGCUGCUCCUUCGCUCCCCCGUUCAUCCUCUGACGACCGCGCCAAGCCGGAUUUGUGCGCACCAGGGGCCGAGGAGGCAGGCAACGCGGCGGCUGGCUUAGUCGACGCGGGGAACCUGGCCGAGAGCAUCGCGCGUCCUCCCUACCUCCGUUGUCCGCACCGCGCCCCAUCGCUGCCCCGAGCGCGGCGCCGCCCGCGGCGCCACCAUUCUCGCCUCUGAUGCCCAGGUAGCUCCAUGCCGAUUGCGCCUUCUCUCCCUCACCCGCGCUUCCUCUACAUCCGCCACACCAGCGCCCUCUCCCUUGCGCUCGUUGCCGGCGCUCUCUUCCUCUCGCAUGUCCCUCUGUAUCAGUGAAAAUGUGAUUUUUUUUUCCCGUCCGGGGCUCUGAUCUGCAGCGGCCGUGCUCGAUCUGCGGCGGGUACUAACAAGACGGUGCGACGAAGCUGAUUCUUUCGAUCCAUCUUACACUCGAGCCGGUUUGUGCAUCAGGCGCGGGUCUGACUACGGCAUGGCUACGGCCACACAGCAGGAGAGCGGCCAGCUCCGACAUGUUCAUCCGCCCGCUCUCGGACUCCAUCGUCAAGCACACCAACCUCAAGCAGAGACGAGGAGCGGGGAAGGAGCUGGCAGGGAACGAGUACAUCGGCAGUAGAGCCGGCGGGGAAGAAGAGAUGGGCCGAUGAUUGGAAUCACCCAUCAGCAGAGACAGGGCGCGGGGAAGGAUCUUGGCGGAAUCACGGAGGUGGGCCACGACACAGGUGCAGGUGGGCGGCUGUGCACCUGAGCAACGGCUGGGCGCCGGAAUCGAGCAGCUGCGCGCCGGCUGGUCCUGACGGACUGGGGACCAGCUCGCCUCCGUGGUCACAGCGGUAGGGGUGGAAUCGGCGGGUAUCUGGUGGCGUGCGGGCGGUGGUGUGCGGGCUGCGAGCGCCGAAAUCACGAUCCGGGCGGUGGAAUCCGACGGCGCCGGACGCUGGCGACGCGCAGGUGACGGACAGAGGAAGUACCGAAGUAGAAGGAGCCAGGGACCUGUUUGAUACUGUCUUAAUAGUACGAGUGUUUUUUUGCAAAAAGAACAUUGUACUGCACGCGACAUGAAUUUCGGGACGGAGGGAGUAUUCAACCAACAGUCUUUGGUAAGUGAAGAAAAGACGGUUUGAUUUUUUGAUCAACCCUCUGUGCACGUUUGGCUACAGAUCGAGCGGCGGCGCUCCCGAUCCGAUUGGGACACGACGGAGGACGACGGCGGCAGCGCUCCGGGAGGCGAGGAAUGGGGGGAAGCGGCGGACGUCGGCGCCACGCGUAUCAGGUAAGGAUCCUGUGAUGUUGAUAGCAAAAUAGAAACUUUUGUGUGAUGUUAUGUUCCUAGCAGUAAAUGAUCAGUCAUGAUCAGACAUAAUAAGAUAAAUGUAUAACCGAGCUGUUGAUUUUCUUCGUGCAUGUUCAUUAUAUUUGUAGCAGUAAUCGGCAGUUGUGAUGAUCGGUCAGUUUUUGCAUCAAACAGAUAUUUCUAAACGAAUAUUCAAGGCUUUGUUAUGGCUUGCAUUCCCGUGCUGUUGUUCCCCAACAUGUUUCUGUAACAAGAAGAACACGAGCUCCUCAUCUUUGUAUCAUAAUCACUCUUAACCUUGUUUUCCAUUUUGUUUGGUGAUUAGAGUAUAAAUUCUGGCAAUGGUGCAAAGGUGGAGAACUUAGCCGUUUAAUCGCAGUUGUGUUGCUCAAUUGCGACACUGUAUUUCAGGACUACAAUAUUAAUCUUUCUAUUCAUGGAAUGCAGAAUAGUUUAUGAGUUUUAUCUGCAGGAAACCAAACCGAAACAUGCUUCUCUCUAAACCGUACCAAGGCGACAACAUUCUUAUUUAUAUUCCGUUGAUCAAGUAGCAGGAAAAGGCCUACUUACUCUUUACUUUGAUUUUCCAUUUUUGGGAACCAGGUGAAGUAUCCUCCACGUAGGGCAUUAAGCAGGUAACAUUAGAAGUGCACUUUAGUUUUCACUCUUACUCGCACUAUCCUGUAUGCAUGGAAACUAAUUUACCAUUUUGAUUAUUUGGUGUAUACUAUGUAAAGUAGCAGGCAGAGCCGCCACAUACUCUUGUUUCCGUUCUCAAAUUGGACCACAAAGAAGCUUUUUACCGGAUGAAGCAAAAAAAAUAAAUCCAUCCCUGCUUGAAUGCCUACAUUGUUGCUCACAAGCAUGUGCCUUUCUAUGUUGUUUUUUGUCUAAUUUAGAGAGCAUAUUGAUAAUGGUCAGCAGUAAUCAUUUUUUUUAUCUUUCCUGGAGGGCUCUUACCAGCUACAUUAUUUUUUUCUCUCCUAAAGCGACAAGCAAGUUUCCAAGUUCAAGUCAGAUGACACGAUGCGGGGUGAUUAUUUUAGGAUGGCUCCUAAUGUAUCCGCCAUUUAGGUUAUAUUUGAAAUUCAGUGAUGUACCAUUUUGCCUUGAUUCUUGUAGUUUCUUAAUUGUUUGGCCAAUCUUGUUUUGAAUGUACUGGUUAACUAUUUCAACGGGCAAAUGGAUAGUUGUGAUAUUA